GGGAUUGCCUCAGUAACGGCGAGUGAAGCGGCAACAGCUCAAAUUUGAAAUCUGGCCCUUUCGGGGUCCGAAUUGUAAUUUGUAGAGAGUGCUUCGGGCGAGGCCUCGGUCUAAGUCCAUUGGAACAUGGUGUCAUAGAGGGUGAGAAUCCCGUAUGCGACCGUGGCUCGAGCCCAUGUGAAGCCUCUUCGACGAGUCGAGUUGUUUGGGAAUGCAGCUCAAAAUGGGUGGUAAAUUUCAUCUAAAGCUAAAUACUGGCUGGAGACCGAUAGCGCACAAGUAGAGUGAUCGAAAGAUGAAAAGCACUUUGGAAAGAGAGUCAAACAGUACGUGAAAUUGUUGAAAGGGAAGCGCUUGCAACCAGACCUGCCCGUAGGCGAUCAGCCGCUGUUCUCAGCGGUGUACUCGCUCUGCGAUCAGGCCAGCAUCGGUUUCGGCGGUCGGAUAAAGGCCUUGGGAAUGUAGCUUCCCUUCGGGGGAGUCUUAUAGCCCUCGGUGCAAUGCGGCCAGCCGGGACCGAGGACCGCGCUUCGGCUAGGAUGCUGGCGUAAUGGUUGUAUGCGACCCGUCUUGAAACACGGACCAAGGAGUCUAACAUCUAUGCGAGUGUUUGGGUGUCAAACCCAUGCGCGGAAUGAAAGUGAACGGAGGUGAGAACCCUUAAGGGCGCAUCAUCGACCGAUCCAGAUGUCUUCGGAUGGAUUUGAGUAUGAGCAUAGCUGUUGGGACCCGAAAGAUGGUGAACUAUGCCUGAAUAGGGUGAAGCCAGAGGAAACUCUGGUGGAGGCUCGCAGCGGUUCUGACGUGCAAAUCGAUCGUCAAAUUUGGGUAUAGGGGCGAAAGACUAAUCG
rnacentral:rRNA from 1 species